rnacentral:rRNA from 1 species
ACGGGAGGCAGCAGUGAGGAAUAUUGGUCAAUGGACGAGAGUCUGAACCAGCCAAGUAGCGUGCAGGAUGACGGCCCUAUGGGUUGUAAACUGCUUUUGUUGGGGAAUAAAUUGCGGGACGUGUCCCGCUUUGCAUGUACCCUUCGAAUAAGGACCGGCUAAUUCCGUGCCAGCAGCCGCGGUAAUACGGAAGGUCCGGGCGUUAUCCGGAUUUAUUGGGUUUAAAGGGAGCGUAGGCCGAACGUUAAGCGUGUUGUGAAAUGUAGUUGCUCAACAUCUGCACUGCAGCGCGAACUGGCGAUCUUGAGUGCGCGGGAAGUUGGCGGAAUUCGUUGUGUAGCGGUGAAAUGCUUAGAUAUGACGAAGAACUCCGAUUGCGAAGGCAGCUGACUGUAGCGUUACUGACGCUGAAGCUCGAAAGUGCGGGUAUCGAACAGGAUUAGAUACCCUGGUA